UACGUAGGGUGCGAGCGUUAAUCGGAAUUACUGGGCAUAAAGCGUGCGCAGGCGGCGCGUUAAGACAGGUGUGAAAGCCCCGAGCUUAACUUGGGAAUUGCGCUUGUGACUGGCGUGCUGGAGUGUGGCAGAGGGAGGUGGAAUUCCACGUGUAGCAGUGAAAUGCGUAGAGAUGUGGAGGAACACCGAUGGCGAAGGCAGCCUCCUGGGCCAGCACUGACGCUCAUGCACGAAAGCGUGGGGAGCAAACAGG
rnacentral:rRNA from 1 species